GGAGGAGCGAGGAGACGUGAGGUAAUAGUUGACAGCCAUGGACGUAGAAGCUAGCUCGACGUUGAUGAUACGCGUCUUGAGGUUGGCCUUGAAGUCCACAGACUCUUUGACCUUAUGGCCCAGCAGAGCUCCCAGAAUGGCGUCAGUAGACAACUUCACCUUCUUCAGGAAAUGUCAUACCGCUCUUCAUCAACCCGAUCAAUUUUCUGUUGUAAUCCCUUGCAAAGACUCUGUGGACAGAAACUUUCAGUGCAUUGGACUGGUUUUGUUUGAAUGUAAUUUGUCUGGAUAACUUUGUGGAAAUACUGACACGGUAAGGCACAAUGCACAGCAACAGUACAACAUGUGUAUGGCUAUUUGUUUAUUAAAUACUGUAUACGAUGAAUAUGAAUCUAUAUAAAUACACGCAGCAUAAUAUAAUUUGUAUAGAUUCAUAUUCAUGGUAUCCACAGAUUAACCCAAACACCCUGAUAUGCAUAGUUUUUGUUAGAAAUAUUUUCUAAUAGUCCCAAUUAAAGCUUUUGAUUUUUAGGUGUAUGGAUUAUUCCAACUAAUUGUUACUGGUAAGAGAUAUUGAUUGUUGAGGUUUUUAAAUUGUAUUUCCCAGUACUUUGAGCCCUAUAAACAAAAUGACAUUCACCUCAGUUGUAUUUUGGAGGCUGCAGUAGUCUCAGCGGAAACAUCUGCAAAUAAAAUCAAACUAAUUGCUUCUGCCUAGAUAACAUUAAGCAUAGGUGGGGAAAAAGCGAUGUGGGUGAGGUGAUCCUUUUAAAAUGUUUAGACAGUAAUGUGAUUUAAUGUUGACUUUCUCCGGUGUCCCAACCAAAAAAGGCUCCUUAUGUGGUUUAAUGCUUCAUUGAUGAAUGUACCUGUAGUUCCUGCAAAGACAUGCUUGACAGUUGGAGGGCUGGGACUCUCUCAGCAAGGCUUCUCUCUCGUUCAUCAUGUCUGACUUGCAUUUCAUUCUCCAGCAUACUCAUGGCCUUCUGUAGCAGUUUGGUCUGGUGCACAGCACAUACACAUACAAAAUUACACCUCAGUCAACCAGGCAAUAUAUGGAUUACAGCACUUAAAGAAUUUAAAUUCUUGUACAACA